AGUUUGGACGCGGCAGUCCAGAGGGAAGGACGCACUUAUACUUCUCUCGUGCAUACCAUCCAGUCACUAUGCAUUUUGUUAAUAUAAAUAGCAGAGUGCUUACUCUGAGGUGAGCCUGGUACUGGCUUUUUCUGAGGUCCCUUGUUCCAUCUAUUGUGUAAACCAUGGUGGCCGAAUAUUUGUGACCUCUUUCGUAGACUAAGUGGCCAGUAGUGAACAUUGUCCAAAGGAGGACCUUACCAGUUCAUUCUUGUCAAGACCAAGUGGCAACAGACUACAGUGGAGGACCUUACCAGUUCCCAUACUAGGACAAUUACUUUCAAUGUGUAUCAAUUCAAACUAUAUUAAAUCAAAACAAUGUAAAAACAAUGUAAAAAUAUUGUCUUAGUCUUUGUCUUACAGUAGAUAUAAAUUUUAUUAAUUCCGCUCGAAAAAUCUGUGACAGAAACAUGAUUCUAAAAGAUGGUGUGAUAUAUUCUAACCCCAAGUAAAUGGACCAAAAU
rnacentral:sRNA from 1 species